UUUCUACUCCCUCCGUCCCAAAAUAAGUGUCUCAACUUUGUACAAGCUAGUACAAAGUUGAGACACUUAUUUUGGGACGGAGGGAGUAUAUU
rnacentral:pre_miRNA from 1 species